GAAGAUGACAGAGGGAGAAGAAUUUAAUACUGAAAACUAAACAUAAUGGUGAUGAUCCAUAUGAAGCUUUACUGGAACUCAGAAAUACACCUCGGCAAUGUACUGGAUUUAGCCCAGCUGAAAUGUGUCUCAAAAGAAGUCCUCGGACAUUGAUUCCCAGCACUUCAAAGUGUUUAAGUGAACAUGUUGUAGCUGAGAGGAAAGAGAAUUACAAACGACAGGUAAAAAGACAAUAUGAUUAGCAAGCUCGGGAUUUACCAAAACUCCAUCUAGGGCAAACUAUUUAUUACCAAAACCCAGGUCAAACAGGAUGGUAUCCGGGAAUAAUCAGGGAACAACCAUCUCCAAGAUCUUAUAAGAUCAAGGGAGAUAAUGGAGGAUUCUACAUACGCAACAGAUAUCAUAUUAGGCCAAGGAAAACUGUUUUGAAAGACACUGAUGUCUAUGAUGGGAAUGUCUUGGAUGAUGAUGAUGAUAAGGAGAGGCCAGAUUUUUCUGGUAACUGUUCUCAACAUGCAGCACAGUCUGGAGUAGUUUCUCAUGUACCAGACAAUAAUUGUGAUAGAAAUAUGCCAGCAAGAACUAGCACUCGAGAAACAAAUAGACCUGUGUGGCAUAGGGAUUAUGAUAUGUACUAAGAAUUUUUAUGACAAUAUUAAUAUGCAUAUUAAUGUGUCACACUCUCAAUUGAACUUUAUUUUAUUUUAAGUUGUUACAAUAUUUAUAAAAUAAGAUGAGUUAUAUUAAUGUUUGUUAUUUUAAUUGCAAAUAUUUCUGAUAUGUAUUUUGUUAGCUAUAGAAAAGGAAGGAUGUUGAUGUGUGUUUUAUAUAGGUUGCACCAAUCGGUGUUUGGGAGUAACAUCCCUUGUAACUGUUGUUGUCAACCAAUAUGGCGUUAGAUUAAACAGCUGAUUUCAUGUCUUAUAAGUUAUAUCCAGAGUCUUGUUAUCAUUCGUUCAUAAUAAUCAACAAUGUUACCCGGAUGACUUUUACGGUUACCUCUUCCUAGGGUUAAGACUAUAUUUUUUGAUUGGCUAAGUCUAUACUAAUGAGCCCGCCAAUAUUUAUUCUGUUUUUGAAGCUUUUCAAUGGACAUCCAGCAAAAGAAUCCAUAAUGUAUGAAUGGCUAAAAUUAAUAUGCAAACAAGGCAGAGCCACAAAACCAACAUCGAGUAAAGGCAUCCAGCCGAAUCAAAGGUCAUGGAAACAUAAUUGUGGUGCAGUGAGACGUGCAGUGCAGUGAUUCAGAUGUUACUGGCUACCAGUUUGUCAUCACAAAGGCAAUAUUGUCACAUGAAAAUCACCCCACAGAUCAUUUGACUGCACUUGUGUAUCCUGAAAAUAGGAGAAUAAAGCCUGAUGAAACUGUGGAUCUGAUGGUUGGCACCAAAAUACCACAGUCAGAAUUGAGACAAAUCAUCUUGCAGAAACAGAAUAAAUGUGUUCUUGGGAAGGAUAUGGAAAACUACAGGAGAAAACUGAAAGACCCCUGCACUGACAGUGAAGGAGUAGAGAAAAUUCUAAACAGUAUAAAGGUUGGUGGUGGAAUGGUGAAAUGUGGUGUGACACCAUAAAAUGAAUUUUUGAUUUGGCAUACAUGACCAAGGAAAUGAUAGGUUCACAUAAAGCCAACAAAACCAUAUUGAUAAUAGAUUGCACUUAUAAAGUCAAUGAGUAUUUAUUUCCAUUGUUGAAUGUUAUGUGUAUUGAUGUCUGUGGUAAUGGUGUACCUGUGUUGCAUGCUUUUGUAAGGAAUGAGAGUGUUGAAAUUUUGUCUGAAUGUUUGAGUGUAUUACAUGAUGUGCUAUCAAACAAUGUUUUCCUCAAUCUUUAAUUCGACUAUGUUCAUUUCACACAAUGACAGCGGUAAAAAAGUAUUUAAACACAAAUGUCUCAAAGGAAUUAUCCAAUAAAAUGUUUGAUCUAUUUAAAGAACAAUCUUAUACAUUGAGUGAAGAAGCAUUUGAGUUGUUAAAAGUUGACAUCAUUUCAGCAUGUCCCAGUGUUGAAAGCUACUUUCAAAAUAAUUGGUGGUCAAUUUUUGACAUGUGGGCAGCAUGUAGAAAUACAGAUGUUGCAUCUCUACAUAUCACAACUACAAAUCAUGUAGAAUCUUAUCAUUCAAGGAUAAAAAAGCACCUAGAUAGCCACACAACACUCUCAGCAUGUGUAACUAAGCUACUUCUGUUUGAUUCAGAUCUAUCUAAAAUAAAAUCAGCACAACACCACAUUCACAAAAUAACUAAACAUUAUUCAACACUACCAGACACACAUUUGCUUACUUUGUACAAGAAUAUAUUAACACCUUGGAGCAGAGUUAGUGGGCCAUCAAAUUUCUUUAUUUAAAAGAUGUAACUACAACAUAGUUCAAAAUUAUGCUGACACAUCAUUUUUUUUCUAUUUCUAGUACUGACACAUCAUUUUUUUUCUAUUUCUAAUACUAGUAAUUCUAAUGAUACCAAUUCAUAUGUGGUUAGCAUGGAUUCUUGCAUUUGUAUUUUCUUCACUAAAUUUUUAUUGCCUUGCAGACAUAUUCUUUCUUUGAGACAUAAACUUUCUUUAGAAAUGGUUUUUCUUCCUGCUGGGUGCCAUUUCCAAAAUAAAUCAUUUAGGGAUGAAGAAUUUGAUGACAUAUCAUCUAUCUCAACUAAUGUAAUUUAUCCAACCAUUAGUGCAAAGACAGCAGAAGGGCAAUUUAAAAUUGUUAAGGACCUGACAAAUGAACUAAACCGUCUGUAUCAGAAUAUGGGGGAACAACAUUUUUUAGUAAAGCUUGAACAGUUAAAGACAUUUAUUUAUCAUAUCAGGGCCAAUAAGGAAUUUGUUAUUACUAAUGUGUCUGAGGCCUUAGCUGAAACAAAUAUUAGUUUGAAUGGUGGGUGUGUUGAUGCAGAGUUUGUUCCGAUUGCCUCAACUUCUCAGGCCUUGGCUGAAACAGAUAUUAGUUUGAAUGAUGAGUGUGUUGGUGAAGAGUUUGUUCCAAUUAAUCGUGCUCAACCCUUUGUCUUUCAUAAUAGUGAAAACAAUCUGUCUGGUAGUGAUAUUGUUGACUCAUCUAAAGUUACAACUGAUACAUUUAGUAAUGUAAUGUUGAAAAAAGUAAAAACUAAAGGAAGACCUAAUAAUAAACAACACCUCACAAUGAAAAAAAGACUAGGUUUCCCUUACAGCUUGGUUAGUAAAAAACUUAAAAUUGUUAGCAGUACUGAAAAAGAAGUGGUAGGUUAUGUAAAAUGUUCCAGUGCAAAUGACGUGAAUGUUUUUGUUGAUAACCAUGUUGGAAUAGGAAUAAAUUAAAACUGUAGAUAACACCAACAAAAGCUGAAUUCCUAGAUGUACAUUAACUAUCAGAACUGCCUUAUUAAUGGCUCCUACUAGGCUAUCACAAAACUCCAGUCCCCUGUCAACAAUAACAAAACUUCAAGCGCAGUCACUCUGUCUCAACCAAUGGGCCAGAGAAAUAAUAGUAAAAUAAUAAAUAAACAUAGAAUUCUUUAAGUCUUACAACCAAGGUUCUAUGACAUACCGUUUACAAUAUUAUAUACAAACAUAAUCACCACACCACCCUCCCCCAAAUUAUAUUUUUUUCUCUGCCUUGUUUUGAUAGCUCCUCUUUUUUAUUAUAGCCAUCCUCAAUGCACUAAACUUUAUAAUGAAGAUGGGAGAGAAAACAUUGAAAACACAUGUCAAAAAUAUCAAGAAGCAGUAUAUAGGCCUAUAAAAAAAUAUGUCGAAUUGAGUGCUUAAAGUCAAAGCAAAGUAAAAAAAUAUAUUUAAUUGGAGAUGAUUUGACCAGGAAUGAAAUGAAAACAAAAUCAGUGAAUUAAUAUAUUUUAUUUAUUUUAUAGCUAUUACAAAUAUUCAGCUCAAAGAUUUAACAAAAAUAUGACCUAACAAUUCUAUAAUAAAAAAUAACCUAUAAAGUAUACAUUGUUCCUUUAAUUACAUUAGGGAAAAAAAUAAUAGUUUAAUAAAUUGUAAAGAUUUAUCAAUAUCAAACCAAUUCUAUUUUAUAGCUAUUUUCUAUUAUCUUCUUUAAAAUCAAUCACUUAAAAAAAAAACAUUUAACUGAAUAGGAUUUGACCUAAACACAGUCAACUGGGAAUAAGGUUUUGACCUAAUUUGACCCUGUUGACUGUGAAUAGGGUUUUGACCUUAUUUGACCCAUCCAUCCGGUUGGGAAUAGGGUUGAAGCCUAUUCACAACUGGUUGGGAAUAGGGUCCGCCUUUUACAAAUAUAUACUGAAAAUUAUCUUUGUCAACAUAUUGGUAACAUAAUCUUCGUUACAUUUAUGAAUUGUUUUAGAAGUGGUGUAUUUUU